GGAGCUGUACCUUAUCUGGGGCCCCAGGAAAAGUUCCAAGGAAGCAAGAUUCCUGUGGGUGCGGUUCACUGCAGCUGCACCUGGGAGAGACGUGAGCAGCCAUUCCGUGUCUGGAGCAUCUCUGAUCUGGUGGGAUGAAUGGCAGAGCCCUGGCGAAGAGAUUCUUUCCCCAUACAGGCAUAGGUUAUGGGUUGUUCUGACGUGUCUGGACAUCACUCCUGUGGCUGUUAAGUCCUCCCCAGCUGUUCCGAUGAACGACUGGCUUCCAGAAAUGCUCCUGCCCUCUGUGCCCACUCACCUGGCCUUGUGGCACAAACACACUGGCAGAGACUGGAUUGCAACUAUGAAUGUGGCCUGUGUCUUCGGCACAGAAAGUAUGCGGAAAUGCAGAAGAAACAGGAAACUUUCAAGAAAGACUAUUAGUAAUCAAAGCUGCUUUUUAUCUUUCUAUUCCCUUUAUAAUGAUAUUGCAAAACUGUUGUCAUAUAGAAAGGCAAUCCAAGAGUGCGCAG
ensembl:lncRNA